AUGGACAUAAAGAGAAUGACUUUAUAUCUGCCAAAACCCUCAUUGACUAGGUCCAUCCUUGGUGAGCUAAACCGAGAUAAAAACGAAAAUCACCGAUUAGAUAAGACGCGCGUCAAGCAUUUUGCAGUAACUCCCUAAUGUGCCGCAAUAGGGGACAAAAGCUUAUAUUAUACACGUGAGUGUAAUAUGAAGUUAGGUCCGUAAAUGCUCAGUAUCUAACUAAGCAGCAACUGCUCUGAUAACGCGCAAUACUCGUGACGUUGAAUAAAAUUAACGUGGAUUGCAUUGAUUAAUAUGUAAAAAUUCUCAUUGUUGGUUUGGCCCAUUCUUCUCUCACAUUCGAAGUAAUAAAUCCGUCGUUGGUGAGAUUAGAUGUCAUUUUCGUCUUCAGACUCGGAAGAAUCUCAACUAGUUGACUGGGAUUCGAAUUUCGACAAAAAAUUAUCAGAACUACGGAGUUCAACUUUCUGACGAUAACACCCACUCCGACGAGUCACCCUGAAAGAAAUCCACUCAGUGACAACAUCUACCACCAGUAAGAAUUCUGAAGACUUCGGGCCCGAAAACCAGCCCGCAUGAGUUUUUGAGACGGCGCCCGAAUUGCAGAUCGAAGCGUCCGUCGGAAUUCAGUCCGUUCCUGAGCUGAUUGCGUCUUCAAUUUGCAAGGCCACGCUGGUGGAGGACCCGGAUUUUGAGCAGGAAAAUCUGGGAGUGCCAAGGUUCUCGCUGUGAGCAACAACGUCGGAAAUUAUUUUGCGAAACAAACCAAAGUUCUUAAUAUGUCACGUGGAUAAGGUGGAGACCAGCAUUGAUACAGAAACUAAACACUUGGAGCUCACAAAAAUUAUUUCUGUGCAACAUAAAGACCCUGAGACGAACAAAACUUGUACCUUAAAAUUCGAGCUGGUUGGAUUGGGCCUCCACAGAGGUGGAAACGGUUCAGGGCACUACUAUAACUAUAGAAGACUAGUGAAUGAGCAGAGAUCCUGGUUAUGAUGACUUGUGCCUGGUCACCGACAAAGUCAUGGAGCUUGAUUCCUCUGAAAAUAUAUGUCUUGCUCUUUUCAAACUGCUCAAGCACGCUGAUGGACUCCGAACUUAGCAGUCGACCAGUAUUGUGAGCCACUACCGAGUCUAAUGAUUAUUCUGACGCGCCUCUCCCUUUUGAGCCCUUUUGAUGUACUAACCAGUGCGCAAAUUGAACAAAAAC